rnacentral:tRNA from 2 species
GGAAAGAUGCUCGAGUGGCUUAAGAGGCACGCCUGGAAAGCGUGUAGCCGGCAAAACUGGCACGGGGGUUCGAAUCCCCCUCUUUCCG